AGUCGUAACAAGGUUUCCGUAGGUGAACCUGCGGAAGGAUCAUUAUCGAGUGUUAUAAGUGGGCUUUGAUGCUGGCGUGUAACAGCGCAAGUGCUCAAGCCUCGCUCUUAUCCACUUAACCCCUGUGCACUAAUCCGGAGUGUUGCAGACUGGCGUGUCGGUCUUUCUUGACUGGCGUUAAGGUCUGUCCUCUGGUCUCAUUACAAACGCUUUGUAUUGUCUUGUAGAAUGUCUUAGCCUCAUUAGGCUGAAUUGAAAUACAACUUUCAACAACGGAUCUCUUGGCUCUCGCAUCGAUGAAGAACGCAGCGAAAUGCGAUAAGUAAUGUGAAUUGCAGAAUUCAGUGAAUCAUCGAAUCUUUGAACGCACCUUGCGCUCCUUGGCUAUUCCGAGGAGCAUGCCUGUUUGAGUGUCAUGUUAAUCUCAACCCCGCCGGUUUUUGUAAUCGCGUUGGGUGUUGGACUUGGGGGCUGCUGGCUUAUCUCAAAGCCGGCUCCUCUUGAAUGCAUUAGCUUGGACCUGUUCGCUUGCUAGCGGUGUAAUACGUAUAUAUUCACUGUGCGCGAGUGUAACUACAAAGGGUCUGCUUCUAAUCGUCCUUCACGGGACACUUAACUCUUGACUCUGACCUCAAAUCAGGUAGGACUACCCGCUGAACUUAA
rnacentral:rRNA from 1 species